rnacentral:rRNA from 1 species
UACGUAGGGGGCGAGCGUUGUCCGGAGUUACUGGGCGUAAAGCGCACGCAGGCGGUCUGUUAAGUUUGGAGUGACAGUUGGUGGCUUAACUGCCAAAGUGCUUCGAAAACUGACAGACUUGAGGGCUUCAGAGGGACACGGAAUUCCGGGUGGAGUGGUGAAAUGCGUAGAGAUCCGGAGGAACACCAAAGGCGAAGGCAGUGUCCUGGGGAGUACCUGACGCUGUGGCGCGAAAGCUAGGGGAGCAAACGGG